UAGGGAAUCUUCCACAAUGGACGAAAGUCUGAUGGAGCAACGCCGCGUGAGUGAAGAAGGGUUUCGGCUCGUAAAACUCUGUUGUUAAAGAAGAACAUAUCUGAGAGUAACUGUUCAUACGUUGACGGUAUUUAACCAGAAAGUCACGGCUAACUACGUACCAG
rnacentral:rRNA from 1 species